CUCUCGAUCUCUUCUAGAGCCCUCUACUGUCCUCACACCCGAGUCAAAAUCCACCUCAAAACCCAAAAAUCACCGCAAAAGAGAGCAACAGAGAGUUGUGAGCAGCAAGAACAGGACCAUAGCUUCAAAGCCAGAGCGGACCCAGAAGCUUCAAAACCAGAGCCGACCCAGACGAGCACAAAGCCACCAUCAUUGCUGCACAGUAGUGAAGAUUGACCUGGGAUUGACGACGAAGAGACUCUUUGGUUGAUCAUGAACUUGACUUGGUUUGUUUAAAUCUCGGACUCCUCCUCCUCCUCUGCAAAUCAGCUCAGAGAAAGAGGCGAGAUGAAAGAAAGGGAGAAAGAGAACCCGGGAAGAAGGAAGAGAAGGAGAAGAGACAAACCGGAAGCUCUUGACUAAAACAACACAAGUGGAAGUUUCGCAGCAGAAGAUAGUUUCUCUGUACGAGAGGUUCUGUCAGCUCGAUCACAGUGGCGGAGGUUUCAUCUUCGCCGACGAGUUUUUGUCUGUACCGGAAUUCGCAGUCAAUCCUCUCUCUCAGUUUUGGCUGGGUGGACAUAGAUACUGGGGGAGAGAUGGAGCAAGACCAUACUUGCUCUCAGGAGAUGCUUCUGUAUCAACACCCAAUUUCCUUUUCUCAUCAGAGACAUUUGAUCAAACAACAAAGCUACUUAGUUUUGGGGUGACUUGCUCUUAGGAGAUGCUUCUGUAUCAACACCCAAUUUCCUUUUCUCAUCAGAGACAUUUGAUCAAACAACAAAGCUACUUAGUUUUGGGGUGAAUUCAGAAAGAUAUUCAAGGGAGGAUUGGCAAAGAACAAGCGGUUCUUUGCUUUGCUCAGCUCACUGGCAUUGAUGCAGAGAGGGAAACUCUAUGUUGGAUAUUAUGUGGCUGUGAAGGGGUUCUCUGCUUUGCUUAUCAGCAUUGAGACGAAGGAGCUGGUGAUAGUUUUUCUUGGAGAAAUUGAGCUCAUUUGAGCAAAUAAGAAUAUCCCAUUGAGCUGGCACCCAUUUGAUCAAAUUGGGGGAUUUGAUUGAGCAAUCAGAGAUCUUUGAAGGAUUGAGCUCCGGUGUGAUUGUGGAAUCCCUGAAGGUGGUUAGCUUGCAAGGAUUUGCCUCAAUUUUGGAGCCUAACCUCUGCAGAAUUGUAUCAUUUAAUUGUGAAAGAAAGCUUUGGAGGAGAACAUAAUUGUGUAUCUGGAAACUGGUUGUGGAAAGACCUAAAUAGCCGUGUUGCUUAUGUAUGAACCAGUUGAUACUCAAACCUCAGAAGAACAUGUGUGCUAAAUCCUGAAGAUCUUUGUGGUAUAUAUGGAUCAAAUUGCUCCCAAUGGAUUAUUGCAAUGGAGUAUUAGAAAGAAUGUGGCUAUCAUGAAGCCUCAUGAAGCAGCCAAAUUAGUUGCGAAUGAGAUUUUUCAUGUAAAAGGACACUCCCCUGAACUGAAAGACAUGGUAGGAAAUGUCAUGGAAUUUUCUGGCUUCAGCCAUCCGAGACAAGUUCGUCUUAGCAGGAGUACAACAUUUCUUUGAUUCUGUUGGAAAGUCAAUCUCCAAUGAGAGCUUCAAGAGCCGUAGACAGCGACAGAGAGAGCUAAGGAAACGACCUCGCAGCUUUCAAGUUUUGAGCUGCUUAACCAAAACAGAGCUUGCAGCGAUGGAGACAGAAACGGCGGCGAUUCUAAGCGACCUAGGGAGGAAUCAGUGAAUGAAUGUUGCAAGAAAUGAGUUAGUUCAAGCUAUUGCAAAUAAACUUUCAAUUGGCCUUCGACUAUGGACUCUUUG